AUGUCUAUCACUUUUCCUUAUAGGUUAUGCUUACUUGGGAGAAGUGGUGCCACAGGGGAAAAAGCUACCACAGUAGAAUACUAUUAUGGCAUCUUCUUUGCUGGAGUUGGGAUUGGAGAAAGUGCUGGGCUGGAAUGGACCUUCAGAAAACCUCUAAUUCAUUCUUCAGCAAUGCAAAAAGUUUGGAGCUACAUAGGGAUAAAACAGGAGCAUAUUCUUGACUCAGAUUUCAAUUCCUCAAAUACCACAUAGAUGGACAAACUGAUGGACACACACAGGGUCGAACCGAUGUUGCUCACAUCCUGAUGUGCAUAGAAGGCACAUGCUGUCUGCUCGGUAAGAAACACCUGUAAUUUGCCCAAAGAGAUAUGUGCUAUUGUUAGUAGACAAUGUAUUACCAAUAUACAAAUGACUUCUCCUUCCCUACUUUGCAACUCUCCAGGUCAUGUUUCGAGGGCCCGCAUUGCAGCCUCCCUGUGGGACUGACCUGCUGAUGGAGCACAAAGCUGAGAUGGAAAUCUUUUGCCAGAUGCCAACAAAUAGCCAGAAUUUGGACUGAUAUGUAGCUUGGUAGAAGAAUUAUAUUUGAUUUAUAUUUGCAGAAAAAGAUUGUGACAUUACCACCAUCAAAUGUGUGCAGACACAUUCACUUGCAAACAGACCCAAAGGCUCAGCUAAAUGUUCCUGCCUCUGGAGGUGAGGUGGGGGUGCAGAGGCAGAGCGAGUGGCUGGAACACACUUCCAGGCUGAGGAUCUGCAGGMAAGAGCAUCUCCUCUGUUCUUAUCAUCUCUAAUUAUCUUUUUUAAUCUGGGAGACAGAGGAAGAAUAUAUGUGUUUCACAGGCAUCCUUAGCCUCUCCUGCAUAGCUGCACUUGCUGUGUUUCUUUUCAGCACACUAAAUGAUUUUACACAUCCUAAAAUAUGUAGAGAAUAGCUCCCUCCCCUGCAAAAUAGAAGGCAUUGCUGAAAACUGUAAAAGACUAAUCUGAUAUCCAUUCCUUAAGUGCUAAAGGGAAAAUCAGUCUGUUUAACUGGACUGCAUUAGUAAAUUGCACUUCUGGUUUCCUUUGUACAGUAUUUCCUAUAUUUAGAGCAUAUAAUUUGUGAAUUACAGCCAGACAUCUAGGUUGUAACUUCAUUUACAAAUAUAACAAGAGCCUUUAAGAAAACACAAUAGAAACAGAUCAUUGAGGAAAUUCUUCUCCAAGAAUAACUAAAUUUUACAUCAUGUAGACUUCCCUUCUCUGGCUGGAAUGCUUAUAUUUUCUUCCGAAGAAAAGAGGAUAAAAGAAGUGACUGUUUCAUAAUCAGCACGUAAACCGCACGCAUAUUAGUGUAAGAAUACAAAUACUACAAGAACUGCAGAUCCUGGGUCAAUGCAUCUGUCACAAUAACUUAUUUCAAAAAGUAUUUCAUGACCGAUGCUUCAAGAACAAUUUAAGGCUAGCAUAUACAGGAAGAGGAAUCUCACCUCAAAGAUCAGGGCUUGAUGCUGUAAUUUUUGAUGAAUUCUAACACAUAACGUGCUUGCAAGAAACCAAUGAAGUAGUUUAACAGAUUAUACACCCUCUAUAAAAUGCAUGGCCUGUGUUACUUUCUAAGAAGUAAAUUAAUUAAUUAACAGGAUUGGCAAAGGCAAUAAAAAGUGUUUUACAGAAUAUUUUCUGAUUGCA
rnacentral:lncRNA from 1 species